rnacentral:rRNA from 1 species
AGUGAACGCUGGCGGUAGGCCUAACACAUGCAAGUCGAACGGCAGCACAGUAAGAGCUUGCUCUUACGGGUGGCGAGUGGCGGACGGGUGAGGAAUACAUCGGAAUCUACUUUUUCGUGGGGGAUAACGUAGGGAAACUUACGCUAAUACCGCAUACGACCUACGGGUGAAAGCAGGGGACCUUCGGGCCUUGCGCGAUUGAAUGAGCCGAUGUCGGAUUAGCUAGUUGGCGGGGUAAAGGCCCACCAAGGCGACGAUCCGUAGCUGGUCUGAGAGGAUGAUCAGCCACACUGGAACUGAGACACGGUCCAGACUCCUACGGGAGGCAGCAGUGGGGAAUAUUGGACAAUGGGCGCAAGCCUGAUCCAGCCAUACCGCGUGGGUGAAGAAGGCCUUCGGGUUGUAAAGCCCUUUUGUUGGGAAAGAAAUCCAGCCGGCUAAUACCUGGCUGGGGUGACGGUACCCAAAGAAUAAGCACCGGCUAACUUCGUGCCAGCCGCCGCGGUAA